AAUUAAACAUUGUAAAUGAAUAUGGGAUCCAUCGAUCCACCAAAGUCGACCACCCCAUUUCUGCAAUUUCUUUUCUCCGCGCCAAUCACAAGAUAUCCAUUUCACCCCCACCGGCGAUUCGCCCUACCAGCCGCAACCGCGAUCUGCCACCUUCCACUGCGAUUCGCCGCUCCCUGCUUUGGGAUUCAACCAUGGAUUAUCGCCGCAUCGGCACCCACCGCGACUCGCCGCGCCAUCGUCAACGGCCACUCUGACUCCGACGCUCUCAACAUCGACCCGGCCUCCAUCGCCGCUAUCUGCCUACGCCACCUCCAUCGAUAAACGUACCGCCUCCACCGUGAUUCGCCGGCCCUGCAUCGAUCUAACCCAUCCCAUAUUUCUCUCUCUUCAAGCAUCUCAAACCAUUUCUGACCAUGGAGGUGUUGAAAGCUCAAAACUGCACUUCCCCCACCACGAUUCGCCCCGCUGGCCUCCGCCGCGAUCUGCCACCUCCCUUACUCCCUCCCCCACCGCGAUUCGCGGCGUCGGCCCUGCAUCGAUCUACGCAUGGUAAGUUUUCUAUUAGGAAAGAUUACAAUAGUAAAUAUAGAAUGAUUUCUCUACUUUAGAAAGAACUUUUUUUGGAAAGAUUAAAAGUAUAUACAAGGUAAAUGUUUAACAAUAGGAAUGAUUUCUCUACUUUAGAAAGAACUUUUUUUGGAAUGAUUUCUCUUUCACGCAAUACAUGGUAAGAAUUAUAUUAGGAAAAAACCCAUUGUUUUGUAAAGUUCUGAUCUUUUGCUUAGAAAGAAAAUUUUUUGGAAAGAAUUUUAACAAAGGAAACUUAAACCCUAGAUUUUUAUCUAUAAAUUCAUUACCUUGAAUUAUUAACGCCACAAUCGUGUUUUUACAAUUCGCCGUGGCGGUAAGCUUCUUCUUCUUCUAUGGCUGUUUGUCUGCGAUUCACCUUUCAUUUAUAUUUUUUCAGAUUUUUGGUUUGGAUUUUGUUAAUUAACUCUAUAUAAUUGCCACAUCUCCUCAUCGGCGCCGCCGAUCCCUUCCAACGCUGGUUUAUCGCCGCCUCCUCUGCCAUGGUAAGUAUUCAAUUAGGAAAUAUUACAAUUGUAAAUAUAGAAUGAUUUCUUGCCACCGUGAUUCUUCUUACACAUAAAUGGUAAGUAUUAAAUCAGUUUGCUGAUUUAACACGUUUGACUAUUGUGAAUAUAGAAUGAUUGUGGUCAACUUUAGAAAGAACAAAUUUUGGAAUGAAGUUUUAAAAUGGAAACUUAUAACCUAGAUUUUUAGCUAUAAAUUCCUUAGUUAAAAUGAUUUACAGCGCAUUGUGUUUUACAGCCAACGCAAUGUUCCUUUCUUUUCUUUUGCCGCAACCGGAUCCCUUACGGUGAGAUUCUCAUUGCUGAGCUAUUGAUGGUGAAAAGAUUGAUGGUGAAAAGAAUAGGUUGUGUUUGUUCUUCAUACUUUGAGGUUCUUAUUUUUGUUGUUUGGUUCAUUCAGUUUCAUGUUUCUUUCCGACCAAGUAAGUUUGAUCUUCUGGCCCCAUGACAUAACUGAAAGCAUAAGCUGCUUCUUUACAUUGUUAUAUCCUGCCUUGCACUUAUUUGCAUCUUGGGUAUUUACUGAUUAGUAUAAUAUUUACUUGGUCAGUCGUCAUUUCUCUAGAAUAUUAGUAUCAUUGUUUAGUUCGUGGAUAUAACUCUAAUAUUUUCCAUGAGUGACAUAGUAUUAGAUUAUUUGAGAUGUAAUAUUAUAACUUUUUUUGGUGGCUUCUCAGUAAAGUUGCGGCUUUUUAUGUUGGUAUAAUUCAUCUUUAAGAAUAUGUGAAUGGUGUUGCAGUUCAUUAUUCAAGUUUCUAUGGUGAGUCAUUUUAAUUAAGAGGAAAGCUUGCUUUAUGAUUCUUGCUUGCAGCAAUACACUGGCACCUUGCGAAGAUUUUGAUACACCUAGCAUGGUCAUUGCAGGAGUCUGCAGAUGUGGAACUAUUAUCAUUGUUUUUCAAUUGUUGAGUUUUGUUCUGUCAACUUUGUUGUCAGUUUUCUAAAUAGAUAACCUUUAUUUUCUAACAUGUCCAGGAAUAUUGCAGGACAAGAGAGAUUUAGGAGUCUCAUCCCAAGAUAAUAUAAGAGACUCCUUUGUUGUAGUCAUAGUUUAUGAUGUUGAACCACGUGCAGUCGUUGCUCUGCAUGCUCUCAGCGGUAAAGCUUUAUUAACCUGCUUCUAUAGUGAGUUCAUCAGCUUAUAUCAAUCUUAUAUGUUCCAUGCUUUUGCUAUGUGGUUGGAGAAUUUAAAAUAUAAAGUCAACCGCACAUGGUGAUUAAUGAAUAAUGAGUAUAAUAUCAUGAUUUAGCUCUACAUUAGUUUAUUUUUUAAUAAAUGAAGGUUUAAGUCUAAUAUAUCCAACCAAUGUGGGUGUAAAGUUUCCAUAUCUAAUGAAGCAUUAAUACAUUACAGAAGUUCUAUUCUAGAAAAUAUAUCAUCAAAGUUCCGGGAUAAAAUAGAUUGAGUUCAUUUACCCCACUAAUUUUUCCUGCAAAGAUGUACAUUCAAGUGCCAUUGGUUGGCCAAACACCUAAACAAAAAACCAACCAACAGUGUCUUUUUGGUAUAACUAUUGACAUGGAAUCGAGAAAGAUAAGAGUAAAAGCAUUUCUCUGUGUUAACAUAGCACAUGUGAACUGUGGGUUUUAUGAGGUGGGUCAACAUUAGUUGUUAUGUGCUUUCUUAUGAGUUAAACUGUUUUGUUCAGUAUGCAAUAUGACACAAGAGGUUCGUCUUUCAUCUUUAAAAGAUGAAAAUAAAUAUAUUUCUUUCAUCUGUUUCAUUGUUCUUCAACUUUCUAGGCUUUAUAUGUUCAAGCUGUUUAAAAUUCUCGGUUGCAUGGGAGCACGGACAAUUUUCAAGGCUGAGAGUUACUGCUGCAACACUGUCCGAGCUUUCUGUCGCACCUGAUUAUAUAGAAAGUGCUGGAGGUCUGUCAGAUAGCAUGUUGUAACUCGAGGAAUGAGAAUCGCUUAUUUUUGUCUUCGAAUUUGGAACUCCUUUCUUUUCUUUCCUGUAUGAAUCUUUCUUUAGUCAACCAUGGUCACCUCUGCAGUCAUUUUGUUGAUGAAGAUUCAAUAACUAAUGUGGGUGCAAAGUUUUCAUAUUGGGUUUUGUGGUACUUCUUUAUUUGUUCUUUACGUAUCCAUAGGAAUAUCAUCUCCAAUUGGUUUGUGGUCCAUUCAUUCAGACACCAAUUUAGUUUGUAUUUGGAUUUGUUGGAUUUUAUCUUCAUACUAUGAAAACUGAGAUUGUAGUGGGUGGCGGAUAUCCGACGGGUAGCAAGUUGGUGGAUACCCGACGGUUGGCGGGUAUCUGCAAGUCGCGGGACGUCGACACCGAGAAACAACAACUCCCCUACCUCUCAAGCCUCGGCGGGUAUCUGACGGGUAGUGGGUGGCUGGUAUUCGACGGAUAGCGGGUGACGGAUACCCGAUGGGUGGCGAGUAUCUGUUGGUCGCGUGUAUGGGUGAGAAAUAAUUUUUUUGAAUAUAUGUGUCGCUAAGUCAUGUUAAGGAUGAAAGUUAUCUUUAAUUUAUUUUUUCAUUUUAGUUUGAUGUGUAACAUUGACCUAUAUCAUAUUAACAAUUUUUUAGUGAAUAA